GUGGCGGACGGGUGAGUAAUGCUUGGGAAUCUGGCUUAUGGAGGGGGAUAACUGUGGGAAACUGCAGCUAAUACCGCGUAUUCUCUGAGGAGGAAAGGGUGGGACCUUAGGGCCACCUGCCAUAAGAUGAGCCCAAGUGGGAUUAGGUAGUUGGUGGGGUAAAGGCCUACCAAGCCUGCGAUCUCUAGCUGGUCUGAGAGGAUGACCAGCCACACUGGAACUGAGACACGGUCCAGACUCCUACGGGAGGCAGCAGUGGGGAAUAUUGCGCAAUGGGGGGAACCCUGACGCAGCCAUGCCGCGUGAAUGAAGAAGGCCUUCGGGUUGUAAAGUUCUUUCGGUAAUGAGGAAGGGAUGUUGUUAAAUAGAUAGCAUCAUUGACGUUAAUUACAGAAGAAGCACCGGCUAACUCCGUGCCAGCAGCCGCGGUAAUACGGAGGGUGCGAGCGUUAAUCGGAAUAACUGGGCGUAAAGGGCACGCAGGCGGACUUUUAAGUGAGAUGUGAAAUCCCCGAGCUUAACUUGGGAACUGCAUUUCAGACUGGGAGUCUAGAGUACUUUAGGGAGGGGUAGAAUUCCACGUGUAGCGGUGAAAUGCGUAUAGAUGUGGAGGAAUAC
rnacentral:rRNA from 1 species